GAAGAGCACGUGGAACAAUUUUAAAUCAACCGAAUAAGUUCGAAAUAUCGGUUAAAGAAGUAUCCAGAGUAGGGGGAAAAAAUCCUUACGAAUUUAUUAAGCGCAAUUGUACUCGUUUGUUGACCAACGAGCUGGCUGAAAAAUAUAGUUGGCUAGGAGCAAAACAGAAAAGGAAAUUUUGUCAUUUAAAACUCGCUGACUUGCUAAUUGUUUCCGGUCAAGAUAGUAAUUCCGAAUAUAACAAGAAAGUUUUAGAAGAAGCAGUUCAGAAAUGGCUGCGAAGAGCUAAAGAAAGAUUAAAUGGUGAAAAGAAGAAGCAAGAUAA